GUCAAGCCUAAAUACUCCUUGGUGACCGAUAGUGGAUGAGUACCGUGAGGGAAGGGUGAAAAGUACCCCGGGAGGGGAGUGAAAGAGUUCCUGAAACCGGUCGCAUGCAAGCCGUCAGAGCCUGUGUGGUGAUGGCGUGCCUUUUGAAGAAUGAGCCUGCGAGUUAGUGAUGCGUGGCGAGGUUAACCCGUGGUGGGGGAGUCGUAGCGAAAGCGAGUCCGAUAAGGGCGUGAGUCGCGUGUUCUAGACCCGAAGCGGUGUGAUCUAUCCAUGGCCAGGAUGAAGCGUCGGUAAGACGUCGUGGAGGUCCGAACCCACUUCAGUUGAAAAUGGAGGGGAUGAGUUGUGGAUAGGGGUGAAAGGCCAAUCAAA
rnacentral:rRNA from 1 species